UACGGAGGGGGCUAGCGUUGUUCGGGAUUACUGGGCGUAAAGGGCGCGUAGGCGGUUCGGUAAGUUAGGCGUGAAAGGCCCGGGCUCAACCCGGGAACUGCGCUUAAGACUGCCGGGCUGUGAGUCCGGGAGAGGAUGGCGGAAUUCCCAGUGUAGAGGUGAAAUUCGUAGAUAUUGGGAAGAACACCAGUGGCGAAGGCGGCCAUCUGGCCCGGUACUGACGCUGAGGCGCGAAAGCGUGGGGAGCAAACAGG
rnacentral:rRNA from 1 species